rnacentral:rRNA from 1 species
GACGAACGCUGGCGGCGUGCUUAACACAUGCAAGUCGAACGGAAAGGCCCUGCUUUUGUGGGGUGCUCGAGUGGCGAACGGGUGAGUAACACGUGAGUAACCUGCCCUUGACUUUGGGAUAACUUCAGGAAACUGGGGCUAAUACCGGAUAGGAGCUCCUGCUGCAUGGUGGGGGUUGGAAAGUUUCGGCGGUUGGGGAUGGACUCGCGGCUUAUCAGCUUGUUGGUGGGGUAGUGGCUUACCAAGGCUUUGACGGGUAGCCGGCCUGAGAGGGUGACCGGCCACAUUGGGACUGAGAUACGGCCCAGACUCCUACGGGAGGCAGCAGUGGGGAAUAUUGCACAAUGGGCGGAAGCCUGAUGCAGCAACGCCGCGUGCGGGAUGACGGCCUUCGGGUUGUAAACCGCUUUCGCCUGUGAC